AUCUGCAUUACUUGAGAUCCUUACAAAUUUCCUGAGGAAGCCUGUCACAGCUAAACAGCUGAAAAAACUUCUAUUUCGCCUGCACCUCUCUGACCGAGUGCUUAUCAGUUUUGAGGAGUUUUAUAGUGCCCUGAAAGACCCAGACUCCAAUAAAAGUAACCCCGCAGGUCUUCUUACCAUUCCUCAGACAAUGGCUCUGCUGAGAGGACCUGCAUGCAGCAGGUUUCUGGAGAGUAUAGAGGUUUUGUGCAAGUCAGACAGUCUUACUGAAAGCUGGAUUUCUGCCCCAGAGUUCAGAAAUAUUCUCAACAAACUCAAACUUCACUUGAAAGAUAAUGAUUUUGAAAAAUUAUGGAAAAGGUUAGAUGUGGAUGGACUUGGAGCAGUUAAACAGACUAUUUUUCUAAAGAAAUUGGGCUUGAGCAGAAGGAUUGAACCAAACAAUGAGAAAAACUACCACACUUGCAUUACCCCAAAACCUGAGGAGACAAAAGCUCCUGGUAGGACACUCUCUAAAGCAGAAGAGGAGCGCCACACAUCUGUCGCCAUAGAGACCUGGCUGAAGGAGAGAUUCAGGGAAGGAGCUCAGAGGAUGAAAGCAGAGUUUGAUAAACUGGAUCCUGAGAACAGUGGAAAGGUGAGGGCUGCAGACUUUCUGCAGGUGUUGAGGAAGUUUGACCUGCAUCUGAAGAGAGAGCACCUGGCUCUCUUUCUGUCUCAGUGUGGUCUGAAGCUGAAAAAGGGUUGUGUACAGUACUUGAACUUCCUGCGCACCUUCCAAGACAGAAGUUCAGACGGCAUCACUCACAAGAUCAUCUCCAACCCAAAACACCGGUUUCAUUCUAAUGAGAACAUCAGUGGUGCUUCCUCUUUAAGUGCCAUAGAGGUCAAAUUAACUCGCCUGUUUCAGUCAGAGUACCUCUCCCUCCUCCAGACCUUUCAGAACAUUGACAAGCUUAAUAAAGGGACUAUUAGUAAAGAAGAAUUCAGAGCUGCUAUGGAGAGCAGGUUUGGCCUGGAGAUUUCCGACCCUCAGUUUGAGCAGCUGCUGGACAGGCUCCCUCUUGACCGCCAUGGAAAUGUGCAGUACCCGAUCUUCAUGGCAGCUUUUGACACCAGAAAAGGAGUUCCCAGCCUCUUCCAGGCAGCCGCCCAGCCUGUCUUGAAUCAUAAUUCAGGCGAGGAGAAGGGCUCAGGAGAGGAUCGGAGUGACCAUGAGCUGUUUAGUCUGGUGAAGAGUUUGGUGGCAAAUCGUUACAGAGAUGUGCUGAGAGAGUUUGAAGAACUGGAUGAGAAAAACACCAGACGUCUCACUCAGGAGGACAUGUACCAGUUACUUAAAAGGUGA
rnacentral:lncRNA from 1 species